UGACUUUAUAUGAUCAAAAUCCUAGGAUCCAUUAUUCAUAGAUUUACUCUAUAUAUACGUCAGGUAGUACACGUACUGUGUUAACAUGAACCUGCUAGCAUGCGGUCUGGUUCUUCUAUUUGUGGUGCUGGAAUUCGACUGCAUCCAGGGGCAAUGUUGUGCCAGUGACAAUGAUUGUCCACAAUAUUACUGCUGUGUUUUCCCAGUGAGAGGCAGACGAGCCAUCGGAUGUGGAAGUGGGACCUGCACCCGAUUUGGCGCCCGCGGUGAAAAAUGCCAUGUGGGUCAUCAUGUCACGUGCCCUUGUUUGUCGGGCUUGACAUGCGUUGGGACAGGGGAAUUUGAGUUUCCCCAGGGGGAGAUUGGAGUUUGCCAGAGAUACCAUUAUGGCUAAGAAGUCAAAAGGAAUAUGCAUAUACGAAGAGAAUAUUCAUAUUCAAAUGCAAAGCAAUCUUUGAAAUAAAUAUUACGACAUACCAAAACCCACUGAUUUCUCAUUUCUAGAUGUUGUCACACCACAAACAUCUCAAACUCCCAGCCUUCGGACAAUCACAUCA